rnacentral:rRNA from 1 species
GAUGAACGCUGGCGGCGUGCCUAAUACAUGCAAGUCGAGCGAACAGACGAGGAGCUUGCUCCUCUGACGUUAGCGGCGGACGGGUGAGUAACACGUGGAUAACCUACCUAUAAUACUGGGAUAACUUCGGGAAACCGGAGCUAAUACCGGAUAAUAUAUUGAACCGCAUGGUUCAAUAGUGAAAGACGGUUUUGCUGUCACUUAUAGAUGGAUCCGCGCCGCAUUAGCUAGUUGGUAAGGUAACGGCUUACCAAGGCAACGAUGCGUAGCCGACCUGAGAGGGUGAUCGGCCACACUGGAACUGAGACACGGUCCAGACUCCUACGGGAGGCAGCAGUAGGGAAUCUUCCGCAAUGGGCGAAAGCCUGACGGAGCAACGCCGCGUGAGUGAUGAAGGUCUUCGGAUCGUAAAACUCUGUUAUUAGGGAAGAAAAAAUGUGUAAGUAACUAUGCACGUCUUGACGGUACCUAAUCAGAAAGCCACGGCUAACUACGUG